UACGGAGGGUGCGAGCGUUAAUCGGAAUUACUGGGCGUAAAGGGUGCGUAGGUGGUUGAAUAAGUUAUCUGUGAAAUUCCUGGGCUUAACCUGGGCCGGUCAGAUAAUACUGUUUAACUGGAGUAUGGGGAGAGGGUAGUGGAAUUUCCGGUGUAGCGGUGAAAUGCGUAGAGAUCGGAAGGAACACCAGUGGCGAAGGCGGCUACCUGGCCCAAUACUGACACUGAGGCACGAAAGCGUGGGGAGCAAACAGG
rnacentral:rRNA from 1 species